UACGUAGGGUGCGAGCGUUGUCCGGAAUUACUGGGCGUAAAGAGCUCGUAGGUGGUUUGUCGCGUUGUCCGUGAAAACUCACAACUCAAUUGUGGGCGUGCGGGCGAUACGGGCAGACUGGAGUACUGCAGGGGAGACUGGAAUUCCUGGCGUAGCGGUGGAAUGCGCAGAUAUCAGGAGGAACACCGGUGGCGAAGGCGGGUCUCUGGGCAGUAACUGACGCUGAGGAGCGAAAGCGUGGGGAGCGAACAGG
rnacentral:rRNA from 1 species